AUAAUUUUUAUUCAGAACAACUGUUCAGGAACAACAUAUCCCGUAAACACAUUUCAAUUAUUUAUCGGUAAUAUAAUUUGUAAAUUCAUCAUUCUAGUACGUUCAUAAAAUCUACUCGAGUCUUGGUCAAUCGCCCUGAGAUGGUACAGGCGCCACUUCCUUUAAGGUUAUCAUUCUCAUCAUCACCACGACAGUCGUCGAGGCCACAACAACAGUAGUAUCGGUGAAGUCUGGGGCUCACAACGGCAACAAAGUAACAAUGUCGGCACCUGCCACCCUGACUCUUGAUGUAACGAGCAGCAGCUUCGCCCUCUUGGUGCUCGUCAUCCUGGUACCAACAGCUAUGUAUCAUCUGCCACUGUACACCGCUGUUCCUCUUGUGUGCACGACGGUCACGGCCAUUUUGGACAUCCAGAUUCACUAAGAGAUAAGUCAGAGUGGAGCAGAAGCAAUUGGCCGAGACGUCCUCGCUGGAGCCAGAGCCACUUCGAUGUGCACCGUUGGAAACGACCGCAAUGCCACCCACUCACGAAGCGUGGAAAGCUUGGCUUCGCAGUCAUCGUACGGCACAUGCAAGUGAAGGGCCGCUUGUGAAGACUUGCACCGUCAAUUUGCUGUGAACCUGCUUUUUUGAAGGCUACAGGGAGAUCACAACUAUGUAAAAUUUGGAAUUUCAUAAAAAGAUUCCAUUCGAAA